ACUUGAUAUUCUAUGAAAUUCGACAGUAGACCAAACCCCAUUUCUGAACAUGAAUUUAGCCUAACUCCAGUUCUCAAAAUGAAAAUUUAAUCAAUAAUUUUCUCAUUCAAUCUGCAACAAAUAGGACUGCCGAUGAAUGAGGAAUCUCUCAUUAAUGAAAUUGUCGAUGGCAAUGAGAGGAGAGAUAGAGAUGGCGAAGGAGUAGAUGAAAGCACCAGCUCUCAGAGUGUUUAUCAUGUAAAGUUGACACAAAGCAGGAAGCUACCAUCAUUCGGCAACAAAGAACCAAUGAAAUGAUGAUUUUGGCCACACAUUCUAAAACCCCAUGGUGUUGUACCGUCGUCCUGAGUUUUUUUCACUUUGGCCCAUUUGAGGUAAAUGCAAACACGGAAUUAUAGGCUCUAUGUUAAUUUUGAACUUUGCUGCCCUGGUACCACCACAUGUAUAUUGCAAUAGAUUUUCUAAGAAUUCUGGCGCUUUGCACAGCAAUGGCAAUUUCACAGUACCUUUCAAACUACAAAUUCCAAAUUCUGGUAGUUUAUUCUUCUGUUUUUUGUUGCAUCUUUCUCAUUCCACAUUAUUGCAUUACAAUGAGGGCAUACUGCAGUUGGGCCUCCUAUAUUAUGCUUGUUCAAGUCCAUUACUGCAACAUAGAAAUCAUUAAAUAUAAUGAAGAGUAGUACGCUUGUAGUUACCUAAAGAGUUGUAUGCAAAAUUAACUUACAUGUAUAUGGGAAUUCUUCUUCUGAAUCAUAAUUUUCAGACUCCAUUUGAUCCAUAUGCCCUUAUUUUUGGUCCGAUCCUUGGCCAACUGAAUAACUCUAAUCAGAAAAACUAAAUUAAUGUGCAGUAACUGAAUGCAACAGAUAAUCGAAACUGAGAACUUACCAUUCUGCAUGUAACUGGUAGCAUAAGUUCUCCUUCUUUUAUUGUCACUUUGAGAUACAGUUUAUGGCGAAUCUGUGGAAAAUAUGUAUAAUGAGAAUGCUUUGAAAAUAUGUUAUAGGUAUAUGUUAAAAAAACAUUAGUUGUUACCUUUGAGAAUGCUGCUUUGAUAUCUACCAAAGUAUAAAAUUAUGGUUUUACACUUCUAUCAGAGGUAUAUAUAGUUUUCUGAUAUAAGGUUGCUACAUCUUUUUAGAAUUCUCUUAUUCACGGGCUUCACCCGCGUGUAUAUCCUGGCCCAUAAACGGGUUCGAAAUGGGUAAAUGGAAUAGGUUUUUACCGGUACUGCUUCCUUUUGAAGUUGUUAUUUCAAGUUGCUAUUUUGAUUGAAUAAGCCCCUUUUCAAAAUCUAAAGGGAUCUGAACAAAGAGCUUGUGGUUCACAAAGAUGAAAUCAAGAAUCUCUCAUUAAUCGAUUAACGUAAUUGUUGCUCGGAAUGGGGAAUCUCUGAAUCAAGAAUUCGAUACCCUCUAGUAUAAUCAGCACCGUGACGAAGUCUUUUAGUUCUCAACUGCAAAAAUCGAAAGCCUUAGCGCCCUAGCGAGCCUGGUGUCUUGCUUCUUCAAGCCUGAUAUUUUCCUGCAGUUGAAAAGUAUGGCCGGAGGAAAACUAACUGGUUUUUAGGUUUUUUUUCUACGGUAUUCUAUGUGGAAGAAGAACCAUGGUAUUUAAGAAAACGAACAAAUGUAGUAUUUAGGUUUAUUAUCUAGGUUUAGUAAAAUCAACAAAUGUAUUGUCUACUUAACCGACUUAAAAAACGUCCAGUUAAGUAUUGGGUGCAAACCAAGUGUAAUCACUAAUUUACAUGUAGUUUGAAUCGUAAGUGGUGUAUACCCACGUCUGUGCUAACAGUGUGAAUAACGUCCAGUUAAAUAUCAAUAACGUCCGGUUAAAUACCGGGUG